rnacentral:rRNA from 1 species
ACGUAGGUGGCAAGCGUUGUCCGGAAUUAUUGGGCGUAAAGCGCGCGCAGGCGGUCCUUUAAGUCUGAUGUGAAAGCCCACGGCUCAACCGUGGAGGGUCAUUGGAAACUGGGGGACUUGAGUGCAGAAGAGGAAAGCGGAAUUCCACGUGUAGCGGUGAAAUGCGUAGAGAUGUGGAGGAACACCAGUGGCGAAGGCGGCUUUCUGGUCUGUAACUGACGCUGAGGCGCGAAAGCGUGGGGAGCAAACAG